AACGAACGCUGGCGGCAUGCCUAACACAUGCAAGUCGAACGAGACCUUCGGGUCUAGUGGCGCAUGGGUGCGUAACGCGUGGGAACCUGCCUUUAGGUUUGGAAUAACUCCCCGAAAGGGGUGCUAAUACCGGAUAAUGUCUUCGGACCAAAGAUUUAUCGCCUUUGGUUGGGCCUGCGUUGGAUUAGCUAGUUGGUAGGGUAAAAGCCUACCAAAGCGACGAUCCAUAGCUGGUCUGAGAGGAUGAUCAGCCACACUGGGACUGAGACACGGCCCAGACUCCUACGGGAGGCAGCAGUGGGGAAUAUUGGACAAUGGGCGGAAGCCUGAUCCAGCAAUGCCGCGUGAGUGAUGAAGGCCUUAAGGUUGUAAAGCUCGUUUACCCGGGAUUAUAAUGACGGUACCGGGAGAAUAAGCUCCGGCUAACUCCGUG
rnacentral:rRNA from 1 species